CGAAGCGUGCGAUUGGAUUGCACGUCUAAGCAGUAAGGCUGAGUAUUAGGCAAAUCCGGUACUCGUUAAGGCUGAGCUGUGAUGGGGAGAAGACAUUGUGUCUUCGAGUCGUUGAUUUCACACUGCCGAGAAAAGCCUCUAGAUAGAAAAUAGGUGCCCGUACCGCAAACCGACACAGGUAGUCAAGAUGAGAAUUCUAAGGUGAGCGAGCGAACUCUCGUUAAGGAACUCGGCAAAAUGACCCCGUAACUUCGGGAGAAGGGGUGCUCUUUAGGGUUAACGCCCAGAAGA
rnacentral:rRNA from 1 species